UACCGAGGGUGCGAGCGUUGUCCGGAAUCACUGGGCGUAAAGGGCGCGUAGGCGGCUUGAUAAGGUUGCGGUGAAAGCCCGGGGCUCAACCCCGGGUCGGCCGUGGCAACUGUCGAGCUGGAGCACUGUAGAGGCAGGUGGAAUUCCGGGUGUAGCGGUGGAAUGCGUAGAGAUCCGGAAGAACACCGGUGGCGAAGGCGGCCUGCUGGGCAGUGGCUGACGCUGAGGCGCGACAGCGUGGGGAGCAAACAGG
rnacentral:rRNA from 1 species